CCUACGGGUGGCAUCAGUGGGGAAUAUUGCACAAUGGGGGAAACCCUGAUGCAGCGACGCCGCGUGAGUGAAGAAGUAAUUCGUUAUGUAAAGCUCUAUCAGCAGGGAAGAAAAUGACGGUACCUGAGUAAGAAGCCCCGGCUAACUACGUGCCAGCAGCCGCGGUAAUACGUAGGGGGCAAGCGUUGUCCGGAAUUACUGGGUGUAAAGGGAGCGUAGGCGGGAUGGCAAGUUGGGUGUUAAAUCUACCGGCUCAACUGGUAGUCGCACUCAAAACUGCUAUUCUUGAGUGAAGUAGAGGCAGGCGGAAUUCCUAGUGUAGCGGUGAAAUGCGUAGAUAUUAGGAGGAACACCAGUGGCGAAGGCGGCCUGCUGGGCUUUUACUGACGCUGAGGCUCGAAAGUGUGGGGAGCAAACAGGAUUAGAUACCCCUGUAGUC
rnacentral:rRNA from 1 species